ACUCCAAUCUGCGCACAACCCUCGAAUGGUACUUAAAGCACCGUUUCGAAGUAACCUGCGCGCUUUUAUUUUUCACUCGAAGGGAAGCAUUAGUCGUCAUUAUAAGCAGUCUUUAUAAAAUGUUUCAUCAGAUUGUACUACUUUUGGCUAUUGGAGGUUAUGCUGUUAAUGGACAAUUUGAUACCAGUUCUUGUGCAGACUUUAAUUCCAAAAUUGACAAAUGUUAUACAGAUAAUAAUCUUACAGUAAGGGGUGAUGUACGAACACUGUCAGCUAUACAAAGAUUGUUCCUUCAAGACACAGCAGAAAUAUGCGGUGCAUUGAAAGACAGCUUUAAGAAUGCCGUGGGUUGUUUCAUUGACCUACUUAGAGGAUGUGUUUCGGCUAAUGACAGGACAUUGGUAGCUUCUUCAAGUAAUUAUAAAGAAGCAUAUGAUCUGCUCUGUAGUGACGGACCUACUGAUAGAAACUGUGUUGGAACAUAUGUAACAUCUUGUUUAGGGCGUAAAUUGACUGCAGCUGGUCUCAAUCCGCGGGGGCCAUUCACCAGCGACACUUACGACGUCCAGAAAAAUCAUAUCUGCAAGCAGGCUGAAUUUUAUUUGACCUGUAUAAACGCAAAACCGGUGGAGCCGAAUUGUAGAGCAGCCUCCAUAGAAAAGGAUGCCAAAAUAGUUACCAAACUAGCCCCUGAAGCAUGCGGGGCUAUGUCCAUAAUUUAUACAUCCCUACUUCUGGUCGCUUCUCUCCUUGUCACUCUCUGUAAUGCUAUCGGUUAAUAUCGUCCAUAGUCACAUGUUUUAGCAUUUAGUACUUUUUUUUUUAAAAAAAAACACAGUAUUACUGUAUCUAUUAUAUGCGUAUGAUCCGUUGAGAUUUUCUAUAAGAUUGUUUGUUCAGACUUCAUGAUGAUUUUAAAUCGGAUUAUAUUUCUGAACUAUUCAAAUAAAUAUGGUUGUCUGCCGGGUUAUACCAAUGUAUUAACUAUUUUUGUUGAGUGAUUAUAUGCGUUUACCCGGUGCCCCCACCCAUCUGUCCAUAACUCGUGUAAAUUCGAUAAAGAUUGGAUUUUGAUAAUAGUUUGCACUUCCUGGAAUGUACAAAUCCCAGAUCUCAGAGACUUUGAGUGAAUAACAGUUCCUCUUCUGAUGGGCGGUUAUAUUUAACAGUAUUUCGUAACUUCUAAAUCACAAAUUCACCUAUGGUCUUAAGCUAAAACACGGCCAUUGUUAGUCUGAUACAUAUAAUAGUCACAUAUUUUAACAUUUAGUAGUUUGUUUGUUUUUUAAAAAAGUAUUAUGCUAUCUAUUAUAUGCGUAUGAUCCGUUGACAUUUUCUAUACGAUUGUUUGUUCAGACUUCAUGAUGAUUUUAAAUCGGAUUAUAUUUCUGAACUGUUCAAAUAAAUAUGGUUGUCUGCCGGUUAUACCAAUGUAUCAACCAUUUUUGUUGAGUGAUUAUAUGAAUUUACCCAGUGCCUCCAUCCAUCUGUCCAUAACUCGUGUAAAUUCGAUAAAGAUUGGAUUUUGAUAUUUGUUUACACUUCCUGGAAUGAACAAAUCCCAGAUCUCAGAGAUUUUAAGUGAAUAACAGUAUGGCGGUAUAUUAGAUUCAAAAUUCUAACAUGCUAUCGUCUAAUUUCUUACUUCUACUCAUGUAAUUUCUAACUUCCAUUCAUGUAAUUUCUAAUUUAAGACAAUGUAUAAUCCAACUUAUUUAUUUGUUCAGUGUAAAUUUUAAUUCUAUUUCAUCUUAUUUCUAUUAUUAAGGCGAAAAAUGUCUAGUCGCUUUACAUGUUAAGCAUGAACGGCAAACAAAUUUAGAAUUUUGAUACUUCUACCUAGCAACCAUCAUUAUGACGCCACCGUUCGCUCAAUUUCUAUUCCAUAUUUAGUGUUCUAGUUUAAAUAAUAUUUUAUGUAAUCUUUCCUAUUUAGUGUUCUAGUUUAAAUAAUAAUUUAUGUAAUCUUUGCUAUUUAAUAUUUAUUGUUCUAGUUUAAAUAAUAUUUUAUCUUAUCUUUUCUAUUUAAUAUAUAAUGUUCUAGAAUUGGGUUUAAAUAAUGUUUUAUGUAUUCUUAUUUAGCUAGAAUGUCAGUAAGAUUUAGUUUGUAUAACUAUAUAAUAAAGUAAUCAUAAUAA